rnacentral:tRNA from 1 species
AGGAGAAGUGGCAGAGUGGUUGAUUGCGAUAGUCUUGAAAACUAUUGAAUUUCAAAAAUUCCGUGGGUUCAAAUCCCACCUUCUCCUA